UACGUAGGUGGCAAGCGUUAUCCGGAUUUACUGGGUGUAAAGGGCGUGUAGGCGGGAAGGCAAGUCAGAUGUGAAAACUAUGGGCUCAACCCAUAGCCUGCAUUUGAAACUGUUUUUCUUGAGUGAUGGAGAGGCAGGCGGAAUUCCGUGUGUAGCGGUGAAAUGCGUAGAUAUACGGAGGAAUACCAGUGGCGAAGGCGGCCUGCUGGACAUUAACUGACGCUGAGGCGCGAAAGCGUGGGGAGCAAACAGG
rnacentral:rRNA from 1 species